GAAAGAGAUUAAGAGGAUUCCAGAUGAGAAAGAAAAUUUCUUUACCCCAAAAAAAUGCAAAUUUUUGAAGCGAAUUUUUAUUUCGUUUUCUUUUCAGUUAGCGGAACAGUAUUUCACACAAGAAAUUAUGAUAUGGAGGAGAAUCGAGAAAUACUUACUUCAGGUAACCAUUGUUACCGCAAUAAUAUUUUGCCAUAGGUUCUUUCUUCGGCAAUCUCAUGCAAAGAAUGACCGAAGGGUAGAAUCAUGAUUGGAUUGUAUGGGCAGAUUGUACCGAAAACUGUAGGUAUUGGAGCUUGGGAUAGUGGUACAUUCGGUAAUUAUAGGAAUAGGUUUGGGUGUUUCCGAAACUCCAAAGACAAUAAGACCCCUUGUCACCGCCAUCACUUUUCAUCAGUUAUUCGAAGGCAUGGGCCUUGAAGGUUGCAUUGCUCAGAAACAAGCAGCUGAUGGAGGAUUUCAAGGUUGACCUAACAAGCCUGCUGACACUUGUUACGCAUUUUGUGUGGUUUUUGGGGAAGUUUCUGUAUGGCUAUCAAGGAG